rnacentral:rRNA from 1 species
UGAGGAAUAUUGGUCAAUGGGCGAGAGCCUGAACCAGCCAAGUAGCGUGCAGGAUGACGGCCCUAUGGGUUGUAAACUGCUUUUGUAUGGGGAUAAAGUGAGGGACGUGUCCCUUUUUGUAGGUACCAUACGAAUAAGGACCGGCUAAUUCCGUGCCAGCAGCCGCGGUAAUACGGAAGGUCCAGGCGUUAUCCGGAUUUAUUGGGUUUAAAGGGAGCGUAGGCCGGAGAUUAAGUGUGUUGUGAAAUGUAGACGCUCAACGUCUGACUUGCAGCGCAUACUGGUUUCCUUGAGUACGCACAACGUUGGCGGAAUUCGUCGUGUAGCGGUGAAAUGCUUAGAUAUGACGAAGAACUCCGAUUGCGAAGGCAGCUGACGGGAGCGCCACUGACGCUUAAGCUCGAAGGUGCGGGUAUCGAACAGGAUUAGAUACCCUGGUAGUCCGCACAGUAAACGAUGGAUGCCCGCUGUUGGUACCUGGUAUCAGCGGCUAAGCGAAAGCAUUAAGCAUCCCACCUGGGGAGUACGCCGGCAACGGUG